CUCUGUCAUGCUGGAAUUAACGAAUAGAAAGAUGAUCAUCAUCUUUCUGUUAGUUAUGUUUCAGUUAAAUUCUUGCUAUGCAUUUACAAACGAGAACGA
rnacentral:ribozyme from 16 species